CCCCUAGAUGUUCUGGGCCGCACGCGCGCUACACUGAACAGUUCAACAAGUCUUAACCUUGGCCGAUAGGUCUGGGUAAUCUUUGAACGCUGUUCGUGACUGGGAUAGACCUUUGCAAUUAUGGGUCUUCAACGAGGAAUUCCUAGUAAACGCAAGUCAUCAGCUUGCAUUGAUUACGUCCCUGCCCUUUGUACACACCGCCCGUCGCACCUACCGAUUGAAUGGUCCGGUGAAAUCUCGGGACGGCGGCUUGGUCGCUUGCGUCCGACUGCUGAAACUUGAUUAAACCAUAUCAUUUAGAGGAAUGUGAAGUCGUAACA
rnacentral:rRNA from 1 species